rnacentral:misc_RNA from 1 species
CCCACGGCAUCGUACAUGGGGAGGAAAAGAAACGAGAAGCACGCAAGCGCCACUCAGCGGCGCAGAGAGGAGUGUGGAGUCCGACUGCGAGACAGACAGGGAAACGCGGUGCCAGCUCAUCUCACGGAUUAGCCAGUCGUGCGUGUCUGUCGAUCUGUGAGAGCGUGUGAAUUUCUUCUUCCGUGCGUCGCUCCUAUCGUCCGUCGCGAUUGCCCUGUGCACUUUUUCUCUUGCGGUCUUUUUCGGAUUUUUUUUCACUCGCUCUCAUGUUCAGGUGCAAUGUCUAGCGUGACACCAACGAUCCCUUUCAAGGCGUGGCUGAAGCUGCACGCCAAGGCGAUUUGUCAAGCGCUGCCGCUUUCUCUUCUUAUCGUGGUAGAGGCACGUGAUCUCUACUACCGCGCCACCUGGGACGUCACCCCGGUGCCGCCGAGCAAGUUCGAGGUCGGGGAUGUUAUUGCGGUGUGCAACCGGUGGUACACACUACCCACCUGGAGCCACGUUGUGUACAGCUGGCUCUCUAAGGUGCUGCUCAAGUCGUGCUGGGACGAUGUUGGCGUCAUUUCAUCGGUGAGAAAUGGCACGCCACACAUCCUCUACGUAGACUUCCACGGCGUGCAUGAGCAGCCGUUGGACGCGUUUCUGGAAGCGCGCUGCCCUCGCGGUGCGGCGGUUCGGAAGCUGCACCGGGACGAAGGCGUACCAUCGCCUAGCCCUGCUAUCGCAGAUCUCUUUCGCAAGGAGGUGGAGAUGAUCUCCGUGGAGCCGUGGUUCCUUUUCUCGGCAAGCAUGCGUGGGGGCAACGAGCACAAGUACUACGAGUUCUGUGUCCGCAUGCACGAGCAGCGGUGCAAGAUACGCUCCAUGCUGCAGCGGCGACAGUCGCGGCGGGCGAUUGAGGCACAGCAAACUUCCUUGCAGGAGAUGGAGGUGAUGCGGCAGCAUCUCGCCAAGUUCGUGGAACCGGUGACACACUUUCACCUCUACAACGGCUCUCUCGUGGCGUCCUUGUUCGCCACGUACGGACUGCUUGACCGUGAUAUGCCCUCACCGUCGCGAUACGUUCCACAGGACUUUGCCCACACAAUCCCCUUCCUCGGCGCCACCACGCUCGAUGAGCCCAUUGUCUUCUUUAGGAACUGAGCAGUGAAAGGCGGUGACUGCGCUUAACCGCUGCCGAUGAGGUUGCGCAGGUGUGUCAGAUUGUCCGACGAUGUCUUCACGGGACGUGUGCCGAGUUGGAAGCGUAGCCCUGAUCCGUCUCCACACCAUCCUCGACAAG